AUUAACGACAAACUUGUUCCAGGUUCUUCCUUCUUUACAAUUCUGCAAAACAUCUUUAAAAUCAGCAUCAUGCACAUAUUGAUCUUUGAUGGUCUCCAAACCAAAUAUUUUGAAGUCAAGUUGUGACAGCAUAGUAUAGCGACGAGACAAUGCAUCAGCAAUAACAUUUUCUUUACCCUUCUUGUGUUUAAUGACAUAAGGGAAAGUUUCAAUGAAUUCAACCCAUUUAGCAUGUCUACGAUUCAGUUUAGCUUGACUUUUAAUAUGUUUCAAAGAUUCAUGAUCAGAAUGUAUAACAAAUUCUUCGAGCCAUAAAUAAUGUUGCCAUGUUUCUAAAGUCCGUACAACAGCAUAUAGUUCUUUAUCAUAAGUAGAAUAAUUCAGACUAGGCCCACUCAAUUUUUCAGAAAAGUAUGCAACAGGUUUACCAUCUUGUAAUAACACACCUCCUAAUCCAAUUCCACUAUGAUAGAGGCAAAGGUGUCCUGUCUUUCGAUGAGAUGAUGGAUAUCGCUUUGGUGGAAGUCGACUUUGACGAUCCGACUACGAACGUGCGAGGACGUCGCGCCUUAGCAAUUGCGAAACCAACUCCGAGAGGUUAUCGACCACGCCGGAGCACGAUCAACCUGACCACGAGGGUCUGUUUCCUGCGAGCAAACGAAGAACAAGCAAGAAACUGAGAUUGCAAUCUGGAUAUUGCGAAUAUAAGAUGAAAGCUUUAUUGAUCAAGGAGGAGUUCUGUGACGCCUUUGUCUGGUCGCUGAACACAAACGAAGUACGCGAAGUUGCAGCUAUGGCGAACUUUUAAUCUAAACAAAACCCAAAGUCUAAACGACGCCCUAAGGGCUGUAUAUAUGGAGGAAGAGGGGGAAUUUCGUGGCCCUUGAGGAAGGGGUCCGAAACCAACCCUAUCUCUUGUUUCCCCACACAUACGGACUCUAAAAACAGCCUAUACUUAUGUAUUUCGAAAUUACAUGGCCCUGGCCCAAUAAUAAGGUGACGCAUCACCUAGAAUAGCCUUUGGACGAAAGUUAUGAAGUAGCAUCUUGUAUAUUUCGUCCAAGGCUUCAUGCACGCAUUAUGGUGGCUUCAACGUCCUGAAAUCAUCACUUGUAACUCCGUUCUUGUUCCCCAUGCGCAUGCCAUCAUCUUCAUGCUUGUUCUUGCUCCAAUGUUCAUCCUUCUCAAAGCUAGGCCCUUCAUUUGUAAGCAAAACAAAUGUAUCCAAUUUAGGCAGUAUCAUAUUCUCAUGAACAUUAGAAUCAUUACCAAGAAACAAAAGUACCUGGUAAUUUAAUUGGCGUGCGCGAGCUCUAGUAAUUGGUCCAGUAUGUAUAGCAGCAGGGGCUGUGGGUGUAACAAUGGUAUUGAUGUCCUCAUCAUCCUCCCCUUCUUGAAAUGAAGUCGUCCUCGACGGAAGCUCAUCUUCCUCACCCAAAUAAGGCUUCAAAUCUGCAAUGUUAAAAGUGGGACUAACCCCAAAAUCUGCAGGCAGCUCAAGUUUAUAUGCAUUAUCAUUUAUUUUCUCUAACACCUUAAAAGGACCAUCAGCACGUGGCAUUAGCUUUGAUUUGCGCAAAUCAGGAAAUCUAUGCUUACGCAAAUGUAACCAAACAAGAUCUCCAGGUGCAAACACAACAUGUUUUCUACCAUUAUCUCCAGCAAGUUUAUAUUUAGCAUUCAUACGCUCAAUGUUUUCCUUAGUUAACUCAUGCAUUUUUAAGAUCAAUUCAGCACGUUGUUUAGCAUCAAAAUUAACCUUCUUCGAAGAUGGAAGAGGCAACAAAUCAAUAGGUGCACGAGGUAGGAAACCAUACACAAUUUCAAAAGGGCACAUCUUAGUAGUAGAAUGCAAUGAACGAUUAUAAGCAAACUCAAUAUGAGGCAAGCAUUCUUCCCACAUUUUCUUAUUAUUCUUCAAAACAGCCCUAGCAUAGUAGACAAUGUUCUAUUGACUACUUCAGUUUGUCCAUCAGUUUGGGGGUGACAAGUAGUACUAAAAAGCAGUUUAGUCCCCAACUUAGCCCAUAAACAUCUCCAAAAGUGGCUAAGAAAUUUAGUAUCACGAUCGGAAACAAUAGUAUUUGGCACACCAUGCAAGCGAAUAAUUUCACGAAAGAACAAAUCAGCAACAUUAACAGCAUCAUCGCUUUUAUGACAUGGUAUAAAGUGUGCCAUUUUCGAGAAUCUAUCCACGACAACAAAUAUGCUAUCCCUCCCCUUCUUUGUUCGAGGUAAACCUAAAACAAAGUCCAUAGAUAUAUCCUCCCAAGGAACACUAGGUACAGGCAAAGGCAUAUAUAAACCAUGAGGAUUGAGUCGUGACUUAGCUUUUUGACAUGUAGUGCAGCGAGCAACAAAAUGCUCAACAUCCCGUCUCAUCUUUGGCCAAAAGAAAUGUGUAGCAAGUACGUCCUCCGUCUUCUUCACGCCAAAGUGUCCCAUUAAUCCUCCUCCAUGCGCCUCCUGCAACAACAAAAGACGAAGAGAGCUAGCUGGAAUGCAUAGCUUGUUAGCACGGAACACAAAUCCAUCAUUAACGACAAACUUGUUCCAGGUUCUUCCUUCUUUACAAUUCUGCAAUACAUCUUUAAAAUCAGCAUCAUGUACAUAUUGAUCUUUGAUGGUCUCCAAACCAAAUAUUUUGAAGUCAAGUUGUGAAAGCAUAGUAUAGCGACGAGACAAUGCAUCAGCAAUAACAUUUUCUUUACCCUUCUUGUGUUUAAUGACAUAAGGGAAAGUUUCAAUGAAUUCAAC
rnacentral:lncRNA from 1 species